rnacentral:rRNA from 1 species
CCUACGGGAGGCAGCAGUGAGGAAUCUUGGUCAAUGGGCGUAAGCCUGAACCAGCCAAGUCGCGUGAGGGAUGAAGGUUCUAUGGAUCGUAAGUCUCUUUUAUAAGGGAAUAAAGUGUGGGACGUGUCCUGUUUUGUAUGUACCUUAUGAAUAAGGAUCGGCUAACUCCGUGCCAGCAGCCGCGGUAAGACGGAGGAUCCGAGCGUUCUCCUGAUUGACUGGGUUUAAAGGGUGCGUAGGCGGCCUUUUAAGUCAGCGGUGAAAGUCUGUGGCUCAACCAUAGAAUUGCCGUUGAAACUGGUAGGCUUGAGUAUGUUUGAGGCAGGCGGAAUGCGUGGUGUAGCGGUGAAAUGCUUAGAUAUCACGCAGAACCCCGAUUGCGAAGGCAGCCUGCCAAGCCAUGACUGACGCUGAUGCACGAAAGCGUGGGGAUCAAACAGGAUUAGAUACCCUUGUAGUC